GUCCACGGCCAUACCUAGGCAAAAACACCAGUUCCCAUCCGACCACCGCAGUUAAGUGAAAAUGUCUGAGGAUUUAGCCUUGUUUGUACUAUGGUUAGAGACAAUAUGGAAUCCGGGGUGCUGUAGGCU
rnacentral:rRNA from 1 species